UUGAAGGUUACAUUUGUUCUACAUUCCCCACCCCUAAAAACAGGGGAGAAGAUCUGCCCUGGGCUGCAGGCGGGCCUGGCAAUGGAGCCGAGGAUCCUGUCUCAGGGUUUCUGAGAGUUCCAGUGGAGACAAGCGGCAGCGACACCACCGGGGCCCGGGUUCACCGACAGGCCAGACAGAGUUCUGCAUAAGGGAAUAAUGGUGCCUUCAGAGAAAUGACAGUGCCUUUUCGGAGUGAGGCACGAUGAGAAUCUUCCCUGCGUAUAAAGAGAAAUCCUAGCAGAAGAAGCCUAAUUAG